AAAGUAGGCGAACGGCUGAGUAACACGUGGGCAACCUGCCCUUUGCACUGGGAUAGCCUCGGGAAACCGAGGUUAAUACCGGAUACUCCAUAUUUGUCGCAUGGCGAAUAUGGGAAAGCUCCGGCGGCAAAGGAUGGGCCCGCGGCCUGUUAGCUAGUUGGUGGGUAGUGGCCUACCAAGGCAAUGAUGGGUAGCCGGGUUGAGAGACCGACCGGCCAGAUUGGGACUGAGACACGGCCCAGACUCCUACGGGAGGCAGCAGGC
rnacentral:rRNA from 1 species